rnacentral:rRNA from 1 species
UCCGUAGGCGGUGCGGCAAGUCGGAAGUGAAAUCUCUGGGCUUAACUCAGAGGCUGCUUCCGAAACUGCCGUGCUCGAGUGCGAGAGAGGCAAGUGGAAUUGCGGGUGUAGCGGUGAAAUGCGUAGAUAUCCGCAGGAACAUCCGAGGCGAAAGCGGCUUGCUGGGUCGCAACUGACGCUGAGGGACGAAAGCUAGGGGAGCAAACAGGAUUAGAUACCCUGGUAGUCCUAGCCCUAAACCAUCAGGACUUGGGGUUUGCCCUGUACGGGGCAAGUCCCGGAGCUAACGCGUUAAGUCCUGCGCCUGGGGAGUACGGUCGCAAGGCUGAA